rnacentral:rRNA from 1 species
CACAGACAACCAGGAUGUUGGCUUAGAAGCAGCCACUCAUUCAAAGAGUGCGUAAUAGCUCACUGGUCGAGUGAUCUUGCGCCGAAGAUUUCCGGGGCUAAAACUUACUACCGAAGCUACGGCAUCAGUAAUGAUGGGUAGGGGCGCUUCCCAUACGGGUUGAAGCAUGACCGUAAGUACAUGUGGACAGUAUGGGAGUGAGAAUGUUGGCAUGAGUAGCGAGAUGUGGGUGAGAAUCCCACAGGCCGUAAACCCAAGGUUUCCAGGGGAAGGUUCGUCCGCCCUGGGUUAGGCGGGACCUAAGCUGAGGCCGAAAGGCGUAGGUGAUGGACAACAGGUUGAUAUUCCUGUACUACCGAUAACUGUUUGAGAGAAGGGAUGACACAGUAGGAUAAGCUAAGCACACUGUUGGUUAUGUGUGCCCAAGCAUUGAGGCAGUCAAAGUAGGCAAAUCCGCUUUGAUAAUGCUGGGAUGUGAUGGGGAGCGAAAUUUAGUAGCGAA